GGGGCUUGGCGCAUGCUUAACAUGCAGUCGAACGGCAGCACGGGAGCAAUCCUGGUGGCGAGUGGCGAACGGGUGAGUAAUACAUCGGAACGUGUCCUGGAGUGGGGGAUAGCCCGGCGAAAGCCGGAUUAAUACCGCAUACGCUCUGUGGAGGAAAGGGGGGGAUCUUAGGACCUCCCGCUCAAGGGGCGGCCGAUGGCAGAUUAGCUAGUUGGUGGGGUAAAGGCCUACCAAGGCGACGAUCUGUAGCUGGUCUGAGAGGACGACCAGCCACACUGGGACUGAGACACGGCCCAGACUCCUACGGGAGGCAGCAGUGGGGAAUUUUGGACAAUGGGGGAAACCCUGAUCCAGCAAUGCCGCGUGUGUGAAGAAGGCCUUCGGGUUGUAAAGCACUUUUGUCCGGAAAGAAAACCAUCGCCCUAAUAUGGUGGUGGGAUGACGGUACCGGAAGAAUAAGCACCGGCUAACUACGUGCCAGCAGCCGCGGUAAUACGUAGGGUGCAAGCGUUAAUCGGAAUUACUGGGCGUAAAGCGUGCGCAGGCGGUUCGCUAAGACAGAUGUGAAAUCCCCGGGCUUAACCUGGGAACUGCAUUUGUGACUGGCGGGCUAGAGUAUGGCAGAGGGGGGUAGAAUUCCACGUGUAGCAGUGAAAUGCGUAGAGAUGUGGAGGAAUACCGAUGGCGAAGGCAGCCCCCUGGGCCAAUACUGACGCUCAUGCACGAAAGCGUGGGGAGCAAACAGGUAAA
rnacentral:rRNA from 1 species